rnacentral:rRNA from 1 species
AAGUCGUAACAAGGUUUCCAUAUGGAGCAUAUCAGAUCCUUUCGGAGGAAUCGUCUGCUGAAACCUUAGCGAGCCCUGUUAUUCAGGGCUGACCGUACGACUAUAAAUAAGACGGGUCCUUGGUUAAAGGUAUUAAGUAUCUUAACUAAGUUGCUGGUCAGCUUCACCGCUGGCAACACCCUUAGUCUGCAGGAAUACUCUCAAGAGCAACCUGCAGCUAUGCUUUCUGCGGCAUACCGUUAGAUAGUAUGGCUCACAGGCUAAAUAGUGGUGGAUGCUGUCACAAGAUGGUAUUUCAGAUAUAGUCGCGUCCCGGGAAUAUUGAUACCGAGACUGUGUUCCGUAGGUGAACCUGCGGAAGGAUCAUUA